rnacentral:rRNA from 1 species
UACGUAGGGUGCAAGCGUUGUCCGGAAUCAUUGGGCGUAAAGCGCGCGUAGGCGGCCCUGUAAGUCCGUUGUGAAAGUCAAAGGCUCAACCUUUGAAAGCCGAUGGAUACUGCAGGGCUAGAGUCCGGAAGAGGCGAGUGGAAUUCCUGGUGUAGCGGUGGAAUGCGCAGAUAUCAGGAGGAACACCGGUGGCGAAGGCGGGUCUCUGGGCAGUAACUGACGCUGAGGAGCGAAAGCGUGGGGAGCGAACAGG